rnacentral:rRNA from 1 species
CCUACGGGAGGCAGCAGUGAGGAAUAUUGGUCAAUGGCCGGAAGGCUGAACCAGCCAUGCCGCGUGAAGGUCAGUGCCCUAUGGGCGUUAAACUUCUUUUGUGCGGGAGCAAUAAUGGUCACGUGUGGCCAGACGAGAGUACCGUACGAAUAAGCAUCGGCUAACUCCGUGCCAGCAGCCGCGGUAAUACGGGGGAUGCAAGCGUUAUCCGGGUUUAUUGGGUUUAAAGGGUGCGUAGGCUGUGAGGUAAGUCAGCGGUGAAAUGCCCCCGCUCAACGGGGUGAAGUGCCAUUGAUACUGCCUGGCUGGAAUGCGGAUGCCGUGGGAGGAAUGUGUGGUGUAGCGGUGAAAUGCAUAGAUAUCACACAGAACACCGAUUGCGAAGGCAUCUCACGAAUCCGCGAUUGACGCUGAUGCACGAAAGCGUGGGUAUCAAACAGGAUUAGAUACCCGAGUAGUC